GGAGGGAGUCCCUCUGCCUGUCAGGAGUGGGGCAGAGAAAACAAAACCCAUCUGGAUGAAAUAUCACAGAAAACUUUAUAGCUCUAGCAGCUGCUCAGCAGUGGAUCUUGCUCCCUCAGGACACUGGUGUCACGAUUCUGGAGAUCUCAGACCAGUGUAGACCCUUCUUAGUUGGGGUGCCUUAAUCAAAUAAAGGGUGCCAUGAGGGAAGGCGGGGGGGUUACUGGUCUCAGAAAUCCUAUGAUUGGUCUGCCUCAUCUUCCAGCUUUAGUUAUUUACAUGCUUUACCAUAUUUACGCCUUUCCUGUGUGGGGAGACACCCUAUGGCAUCACUUCACUAUUUCUUUGUGCUGUGGUAUGUUCUGUCAGGGUUAAUAGCAUUUAUCUCAAAUGCAUUUGUUUGUGUAUAUAUAUGGCAGACACCAUGCAAAUGAAUUACUAGAGAAGCAAUGUAUCUUAGACACCUGUUAUAUGCACAUUAGCAUUGUCUGAGUUAACAUAAAUAAAUAGGCUCCUGAACUUUUGUGGGUAAAACCCACUUCAUCAGAUGAGUUGGGGUAGAAAUAACUUAAUCCAAGGUAUAUAUUUCUACUCCAACUUAUCUGAGGUCUGUGAAUCUCUAAGGUGCAACUGGCCUACUUAAUUGUCUUUAAAGUUACAGACUAACACAGCUGCCCCUCUUAGUUAACAGAGACAUUCAUACCAUAUCACGUGAGAGGCCAGCAGAAUAAGUCCUGGAUGUAUGUCCCUUGUCUCUAACCGUCCAGAUGAGGAAUUUACUUGUUUUAAAUGUUUUAGUAUUAUAUGGAGACACUUGGAGAAAGGGGACUUCCUACUGACACUUCAGUCCUGAUUUCAGUUUCUGUAGUGAAGAGUUUCUGCUUUAUGCACAUCUGGCUAAACCCUAAAUAUCCAUUUUAUAUGUUCCCAAAUUGAUGUCUAGCUUUGUAUCUUAAAUUCAGUUAGAAACCAAAAUUAAUUGUUUGCGUAUCCCCAUUUUUAUAAAGGCUUCUGUUGUGCUAUCUACAGCUGUGUAAAUUAUAGGUUUGUAUUUGUUUAAACACUGUACAUCUUCACAGCCAGCAUAAUAAAUCUAGGUAUGUUAGAAAUACUUUUCCAAGCAACUGCUCACUGAGGCUGCAUAGAGGUGAGGUGAGAGGAGGAGGAGGUGGUCUUAUCUUGUAAAACUCAUAAAUAAUGACUUCACUUUUUAGAGAAAUGGCUAGCACGGAAUGUCUGUGAUGGGUUGAUAACUUUUAUGUUAUAUUUUAUGCAGUAAAACUUGUAGAAGGUACUAAGUUUUUUGGUACACCAAUCUCUUGAAUUAAUAGUCUGCAACAAAAUGUCUCUAAAUCUCUACUGAAUUAUGCCUCUACUUCAGCUUUAUUAAAAGAUCAUCUGUAUUAAGCAACUGAUUUUGUCAGUUUCUUUAGUGAGUUUUAACUGACAUUGAAAAUCGUACGUAACCUAUAAAUGUUAAUGUAGUGUUUCCAUUAUGAUAUCCAUGGAUAUUUCAUAGUAUCCCUGCCUAACAUGGAAGAUGUUGUAAACCUACAUUCCAAUGCAGUUGAUUCAUUAUUUACUAUUGUGUUGAAACUGUUUUGCUGAAAAUUUAGAGAGAGAUCGAUUUGAUAGGCUAGAGAGUCAUAGGGACUCUUUUGUAAAUAGUUAAAUGUCUUGUUUGCUGCUGGAGAAACAAAGUGGGUGAGGCAUGAUUGUAUAGACCUUGGUCAUAUCCGCUCUUAGUGGUCUCUUUUCCAAGCUAAAAAGUCCCAGUCUUUUUAAUCUCUCCUCAUAGG